CCCCAAUCCGCUCGGCGGAGGCAGCCCCCACUAUCCGGCGGUUUCGGCGGACGAUGCCGGCGAGGCACUCGGCGGAGCAGAUCGCCGGAGCGGCGGACUGAAGCACCCCGACGAUGUAUAUCAGGUCCUCCGUAUCAGAUUUAAAUAUGAAGAAUACACAAAAACUUUGAUGUGUUCACAUAUCAAGGAAAGCUGAAGAAGAUGUCAAUGGUUGGCAUGAGCUCAGCAUACUCGUACUCGAGGAUAAAGUCUGUGAAAAAGUUCAUUAAUAAAGUAAUUCCUGCAAUUCCUGUUCAUUAAUUUUCGUAAAUGGAGAGAGAGAGAGAGAUGACACAGUGCCCUGCAAGUGGUCAGUUUGUCCUAACAAGCAAAGGGUGCCCCACAUGUCCACAA